GUAAGAUUGCACAACCAGCUGGAGGACAGCCCUUUGGGACAUGGGAGAGCACAUGCUCCUGGGCCAGGCCUGGGGCCACUGGUCCCUGAGCAAGUCUGCCAGCCUUCUGAGCAGAGCUGUCCCUGGCUUGGGGGCCUCUCCAGUCUGGCUGUUCCCCCAUGGGGGAGACUUGCCCCUCCAUAGAGAAGCUCUAUAACGUCCUGCCGCGCACUGUGCAGGGAGUCAGUGGGAAGGAGAGUGGUAUGGAGACUGAGCUGCCUCAGUUUGAAUCCCGCCUGGCAGGUCACCAGGCAAAUGAUGGCUGGGUCUGUUGGCAGAUGCGGUGCUCAUCUUCAGCUCCCUCCAAGCAGUGUGUAUUAUACAGUCAAGGUCAUGAUCUCAAAGUGUCAAAUGUCCUGGAAAGAGGUUCAGAAGACGUCUCUGAAAAGAGAGGAUCAGAAGACUUGUUUCUGCUCCUAGCUAGUCACCCAGAGGAUCUGGACUUCUAACAAGCCCAAGAGAGAAACAAGGCAGAUAUUAUUGCCUGUGCUAUUCUGAAGGUAAGGUGGCCAAAUUUCAAGGAAACAUACUUGUCUAUGCCAACCCGUCCCCUUGGUUGGGGAGAAAACUGGUUCUUCCCAUUCUCAAACGCUCUCAUUUUAAAGUUUAAAACUUCUACAGAUGGACAAUGCAAGGAUGGUGAUCUCUUUAAUCUGAACAUUUGAGGAUCUAAUUUUGUCCAAAGUAAGUGACAGGUGGGUGAGAAGAGAGC
rnacentral:lncRNA from 1 species